AUUGAACGCUGGCGGCAGGCCUAACACAUGCAAGUCGAGCGGAUGAAGGGAGCUUGCUCCUGGAUUCAGCGGCGGACGGGUGAGUAAUGCCUAGGAAUCUGCCUGGUAGUGGGGGAUAACGUCCGGAAACGGGCGCUAAUACCGCAUACGUCCUGAGGGAGAAAGUGGGGGAUCUUCGGACCUCACGCUAUCAGAUGAGCCUAGGUCGGAUUAGCUAGUUGGUGGGGUAAAGGCCUACCAAGCCGACGAUCCGUAACUGGUCUGAGAGGAUGAUCAGUCACACUGGAACUGAGACACGGUCCAGACUCCUACGGGAGGCAGCAGUGGGGAAUAUUGGACAAUGGGCGAAAGCCUGAUCCAGCCAUGCCGCGUGUGUGAAGAAGGUCUUCGGAUUGUAAAGCACGUUAAGUUGGGAGGAAGGGCAGUAAGUUAAUACCUUGCUGUUUUGACGUUACCAACAGAAUAAGCACCGGCUAACUUCGUG
rnacentral:rRNA from 1 species